rnacentral:lncRNA from 1 species
GGCAAAUUCGCAAAUAAAUAAAAGAAAAUGACCCCAUCGAGUACACGAAUAACAUGAAGGGACUAAACGAGGAAAUAUCCCCACCCUCUCCAAAACGCGCAGCUUCGUUAAGGACCAAAUCGUAAGAAAGGUAAAAUCUUGUGGCAAAAAUAAAGAAGAAAGACCCGAUUGCAAAAAGCCUCAAACGCGGAAGGACUGAAGGCGUAAAUAGCCCAUUUUAUCCAAAAACGCGCGGAUCCUGGGCUUACAGGUCGGGUCAGACUCGGGUCAUGCAGAACGGCGCCGUUUUGGCCUGAA